rnacentral:rRNA from 1 species
GAUGAACGCUGGCGGCGUGCUUAACACAUGCAAGUCGAACGGAAAGGCCCAAGCUUGCUUGGGUGCUCGAGUGGCGAACGGGGGAGUAACACGUGGGUGAUCGGCCCUGCACUUUGGGAUAAGCCUGGGAAACGGGGUCUAAUACCGGAUAGGACCAUAGUUUAGUGUCGGUGGUGGAAAGUUUUUCGGUGUGGGAUGAGCUCGCGGCCUAUGAGCUUGUUGGUGGGGUAAUGGCCUACCAAGGCGUCGACGGGUAGCCGGCCUGAGAGAGUGUACGGCCACAUUGGGACUGAGAUACGGCCCAGACUCCUACGGUAGGCAGAAGUGGGGAAUAUUGCACAAUGGGCGCAAGCCUGAUGAAGCGACGCCGCGUGGGGGAUGACGGCCUUCGGGUUGUAAACUCCUUUCGCCAAGGACGAAGCGUUUUGUGACGGUACUUGGAGAAGAAGCACCGGCUAACUACGUG